AGCAAAUAGAUGUCCAGCAGU
rnacentral:misc_RNA from 1 species